rnacentral:tRNA from 2 species
GCCAAGGUAGCUUAACCAAAGCUUAACAUUGAAGAUGUUAGGAUGGGCCCUAGUCAAGCCCCCAUGGCA